CGAGCACCAGGUGAAGCAGGAAGAUCAAAGGGGUCCCCAGCGGCAGGACCCCCCACGAUCAGACAUCUUAUCCCCUAUCCUUUGGAGAGUACCCCUUUAAGUAUGGCAUCCAUGACUGUACAUUUAAGCUGACCAUAAGACAGAUGUUGUUCUCUCCCCAGUCGAGAAUGCAUCUUUAUUUUGAUGGGAAAAGGGAGACAAGUCAUUGCCACUGACAACUCUUUAUGUGCCGGUAUAAGAAAGGAUCAGGCAUGUAACAGUACAUAGAGACCAGGAAGCUAAUUUUGGACUGAAAAUGCUCUGAUAGUAAAAGGCUGAUGACAUCAGAGAUUACCAGGUGACAAUGUGAGGUACAAGACCACAAAGGAUGUUUACAGGGACAUUGGCAUGAACAGCACAUCUAUGAUGAAAUCCUACAAGACACUUCAGGCAGAGACCAGACCAAACACUUUUUUAUAUUUUCACAGAUGUGGCUGGAUUAUAGAAGAAAUUGCUACCAUUAAGCCGGGAAGAAGGCCGAGCCCGUUACAUGACACUGCCGUUCGGUGUAUCAAUGGCCAAGGUGGGAUAUUACUGCCCCCCGGCG